UGGUGGAGAUCCAGUUCAGUGUCUUAAUAUAAAUCAGAAGCAGAGGUUAAAACCGAAUACCCCAGUCCCAGGCCAGUACUGCACUAAUCUUCAUCCCCUCACAGCUGUGCUUGCAGGAAAAAAGAAAUCAUUUAACAGAUAUCCCAAGGCAAGGACAGGUUAGAAAUGAGGAGACAGAACAUGUGGAACUGAGAUCCUCCCUGCCAGAAAAAGAAAGCGAGGUUGUACAGGGGGAAAUUUACUCCAGUGGCCCCUCUUGAGGUGUGGUGACCCUGCCAUACUCUCCACCUCAUCUUAUCUACCCAGCAUGUAAUCACAGAGCUGCUCAAAGCAGGAACCUGCCUCUGUCCUUGAAACCCAGUGGUGUCUCAGCAUGGCUGAACUGUCUUCCCUCCUUGGAAAAGAGCGUUGCCUGAGGAUUGCUGCUGGACUGGUAAAAGGCCAGGCUUUCAACACCACCUUGACACGGCAUUGCUGACACUUUAAGACAAGAGGGCCUUCUUUUACACCUCUCUUUGGAUUUCCAGGAUUUCUCUUCUGUGACUGGUGAAGAGUGGAAUGGAAAACUUCAAGCCAAAAAUGUGCUGAAGGCUGAUCUCCAUCUUCAUAUUUAUACCUUAAUAUAAGAACCUUUCAUUAUUGGCUUCCCUUUCUGUUUAGAUUUAAUAGGAAUGUUUCAAUUAGGUUCCAGAAGUGAAUGAAAUAUUUGAAUCAUCAAGAGUGUAAGGAUGCAGUGUGGAAGGGUGGAAGGGAAUAUGUUUGUCCCUCCCUUUCCCUCAGUGCAGAGAUGUGUUUGAUGUGCCCCAGAUGUGUU